GUUUUGGCCCUUAUCUAAAGGACCUAAACACAAAUCUAUGGCAAUAUGAUCUCAUGGGAAUAGACCAAAGUAGAACACAUGCAUGCAGAGCCAACCAUCACUAUGUUCCAAUUCCAAGUUUAGCCUUCUUAAUCCAACAAGCACCAACCAUAGACCCCUUGAGCCAAUCAGAUCAAAUCUUUGUUCGGGAAAGACCUAGACCUGACCCAAUUCUCACUUGCGGC
rnacentral:lncRNA from 1 species